ACGGCCCAGACUCCUACGGGAGGCAGCAGUGGGGAAUAUUGCACAAUGGGCGCAAGCCUGAUGCAGCGACGCCGCGUGGGGGAUGACGGCCUUCGGGUUGUAAACCUCUUUCAGUAGGGAAGAAGCGAAAGUGACGGUACCUGCAGAAGAAGCACCGGCUAACUACGUGCCAGCAGCCGCGGUAAUACGUAGGGUGCGAGCGUUGUCCGGA
rnacentral:rRNA from 1 species